rnacentral:lncRNA from 1 species
CUUAUCCAACAGACUCACAGCACUGAACUCAUUUGAUUGAAGCUUUAAAACUGGUAUCCCCUUCAUAAAAUGAUAAGUAAGAGCACACAAAUGAAUGAGUGGAUGUGUUAAAUUUAGGUCUUACAACCACAGACACGGCUUCUUUUCUCUGGAAGGCAGUGGAUAUAAGGCUUUUUUCUCUGAGGGGCUCAGAGUUCCACGUGCUUCUCAGAAAGCUGUUACGUAAGUCUGUCCUCAUCCUCUGGACCGAUCAAAUCUACACUCCACCGGAGAUAGCAACUGCUUAGUCUACAGGAGCUUGAUUAGGAUGCCUCAAAGUCUUUCUAAUAACUUUGAUUCAAAUUACCUCUGCUUCUCCUAUUAAAUAUUUUCUGCAUGUUCUAAUGUUUUCCGGCCUCAACGACAAGAGCAGAAGCACUGACUGUGACUAGCAAGGUAAAAUACCCCUCACUUCCAUGAGCUAAAAAAUGUGAUUAAAAACCAGGGUUAUUCCACCAAAUAUUGAUUUCUGAACUCUUAAAACUUUAUGAAUAAGAACUUGUUUUCUUUGCAUUAUUUGAGGUCUGAAAGCUCUGCAUCUUUUUUUUUAUUUCUGCCAUUUCUCAUUUUCUGCAAAUAAAUGCUCUAAAUUACAAUAUUUUUAUUUGGAA